rnacentral:rRNA from 1 species
AUUGAACGCUGGCGGCAGGCCUAACACAUGCAAGUCGAGCGGAUGAAGGGAGCUUGCUCCUGGAUUCAGCGGCGGACGGGUGAGUAAUGCCUAGGAAUCUGCCUGGUAGUGGGGGAUAACGUCCGGAAACGGGCGCUAAUACCGCAUACGUCCUGCGGGAGAAAGUGGGGGAUCUUCGGACCUCACGCUAUCAGAUGAGCCUAGGUCGGAUUAGCUAGUUGGUGGGGUAAAGGCCUACCAAGGCGACGAUCCGUAACUGGUCUGAGAGGAUGAUCAGUCACACUGGAACUGAGACACGGUCCAGACUCCUACGGGAGGCAGCAGUGGGGAAUAUUGGACAAUGGGCGGAAGCCUGAUCCAGCCAUGCCGCGUGUGUGAAGAAGGUCUUCGGAUUGUAAAGCACUUUAAGUUGGGAGGAAGGGCAGUAAGUUAAUACCUUGCUGUUUUGACGUUACCAACAGAAUAAGCACCGGCUAACUUCGUG